ensembl:lncRNA
GGCGUUUGUUGACGUGGCGUUUGUAGACGUGGCGUUUGUUGAAGUGGCGUUUGUUGACGUGGCGUUUGUUGACGUGGCGUUUGUUGAAGUGGCGUUUGUUGACGUGGCGUUUGUAGACGUGGCGUUUGUUGAAAUGGCGUUUGUAGACGUGGCGUUUGUUGAAGUGGCGUUUGUUGACGUGGCGUUUGUAGACGUGGCGUUUGUUGAAGUGGCGUUUGUUGAAGUGGCGUUUGUAGACGUGGCGUUUGUAGACUGGCGUUUGUUGACGUGGCGUUUGUUGACGUGGCGUUUGUUGACGUGGCGUUUGUAGACGUGGCGUUUGUUGAAGUGGCGUUUGUUGACGUGGCGUUUGUUGACGUGGCGUUUGUAGACGUGGCGUUUGUUGAAGUGGCGUUUGUUGAAGUGGCGUUUGUUGAAGUGGCGUUUGUAGACGUGGCGUUUGUUGAAGUGGCGUUGUAGACGUGGCGUUUGUUGACGUGGCGUUUGUAGACGUGGCGUUUGUUGACGUGGCGUUUGUAGACGUGGCGUUUGUUGACGUGGCGUUUGUUGACGUGGCGUUUGUAGACGUGGCGUUUGUUGAAGUGGCGUUUGUUGACGUGGCGUUUGUUGAAGUGGCGUUUGUAGACGUGGCGUUUGUUGACGUGGCGUUUGUUGACGUGGCGUUUGUUGAAGUGGCGUUUGUUGACGUGGCGUUUGUUGAAGUGGCGUUUGUAGACGUGGCGUUUGUUGACGUGGCGUUUGUUGACGUGGCGUUUGUUGAAGUGGCGUUGUAGACGUGGCGUUUGUUGAAGUGGCGUUGGUUGACGUGGCGUUGGUUGAAGUGGCGUUUGUUGAAGUGGCGUUUGUUGACGUGGCGUUUGUUGACGUGGCGUUUGUAGACGUGGCGUUUGUUGACGUGGCGUUUGUUGACGUGGCGUUUGUUGAAGUGGCGUUUGUAGACGUGGCGUUUGUUGAAGUGGCGUUUGUUGACGUGGCGUUUGUUGACGUGGCGUUUGUAGACGUGGCGUUUGUUGACGUCGCGUUUGUAGACGUGGCGUUUGUUGACGUGGCGUUUGUUGACGUGGCGUUUGUAGACGUGGCGUUUGUUGAAGUGGCGUUUGUUGACGUGGCGUUUGUUGAAGUGGCGUUUGUUGACGUGGCGUUUGUUGACGUGGCGUUUGUUGACGUGGCGUUUGUUGAAGUGGCGUUUGUUGACGUGGCGUUUGUUGAAGUGGCGUUUGUUGACGUGGCGUUGGUUGAAGUGGCGUUUGUUGAAGUGGCGUUUGUUGACGUGGCGUUUGUAGACGUGGCGUUGUUGAAGUGGCGUUUGUUGAAGUGGCGUUUGUUGAAGUGGCGUUUGUUGAAGUGGCGUUUGUUGAAGUGGCGUUUGUAGACGUGGCGUUUGUUGACGUGGCGUUUGUUGAAGUGGCGUUUGUUGAAGUGGCGUUUGUUGAAGUGGCGUUUGUAGACGUGGCGUUUGUUGAAGUGGCGUUUGUUGAAGUGGCGUUUGUUGACGUGGUGUUUGUUGAAGAGGUGUUUGUCACUAUUAAUUGAGAGGUUAAAUAGGAAUUAGAAUACUUACAUGUACAAAAUGUUAUUAAAGUGCAGUAUCAGUGAAAGUGAAUACUGACCAGGAACCCG